rnacentral:lncRNA from 10 species
AAACCCCUCCCAAGAGUCAUGAAGGGGAAAGGCCCUCCUUCUAGUGUUGGCCAAAUUUGCCCCCAGGAACGAAGCCUUCAUUUUCAGCCUCUUUGUAAUUCAUGAGGCUAACCUCACCCAUAUCUGCUUGCCAUGAACUCCUGCCCCAACACAGCUGCUUGGCCACCCUGAUGAAGAAGGCAUCCUUCAGAGACCUGUCCUGGGUCCUCUGCUGCCCUAAGAACUGGCUGUUGGGAUGACACUGACAGAGCCCUGUCAAAGUUUGCUGAUCAUCUCCAGACCAUCAGAGCUCCCCACUGCUGUAUAAUUGAGAAGGGCCUGGCCUUCCACCUGGGAAGGUAACCAGAGCCCCGUUGAAACUCACCUGGUGCUGUCUCUGCUUCAGGUAGAAGAGUGAACUGGCCCCUGGACUUGUGCUUCCUUUACUGACCUGACCUGUGUUUGGCUUUCCCAUCAUCCCUCCCUAUUGGUGUUUUGCUAUAGUCAUCAUGUUUACACAACCCCAUCCUUCCGUGAGUGUGCUGGGAAAAGCUAUCUCAGCAACAUAUACCCAGCAUCUCCUGUUCUCUCCUACUCACUCCAAGUAAAUUCAGGAUGGCUCCUGCUUAAACUUUAAAAGAGUUGCUCCUGUGUGGAUUCAAAUACAGAACUGUCAAGGUUCACUGCCUGA